rnacentral:rRNA from 1 species
GAAAUGGUGAGUAACGCGUGGGAAACCUGCCCCUGGCGGGGGAUAACACCUGGAAACAAAAGCUAAUACCGCUUAACACCUUGGGCCGCUUGGUCCGAAUUUGAAUGAGGGCUUCGGUUAUCACUUUUGGAUGGUCCCGCGGCCUAUUACCUAUUUGGUGGGGUAACGGCUCACCAUGAUGCNGACCAACCUGAACCUGCGACCGGAAUCGGCCACAUUGGGACUGGNCCCGACUCCAAACUCCAACCGGAGGCAGGAGGAGGGAAUCUUCCAACUUGGACGAAAGUCUGAUGGAGCAACGCCGCGUGAAGGAAGAAGGGUUUCGGCUCG